rnacentral:misc_RNA from 1 species
UAUACAAAUGGAAACAGCCAGCUAAAACGAUAAUGGAGAGGCACUUUCCCAUGCCGAAGCACCCAUGCCACUCGAAAAAGGGGCUUCGAUCGUAUAAAAUUUACCGCGCAAAAGCUCCCAGAGAUUCCAAAAGUGAUUAAACAGUCAAUUAUCCAUCACAUCGAUGCAUCUCAAUGUUCAAUGGGACAGUAUUUCGCGUCUAUAACAUGUUGAAGAUAGCUCUUUAUGGUGUAUCUCGUGGAGAAAAUUAAUUUCACGAAAUUAAUUAAACAGUCAAUUAUCUGUUGUACCGAUACGUCUUGAUAUUCAAUGGAAUAAUUUUUGAUAUUUAU